rnacentral:rRNA from 1 species
UACGUAGGUGGCGAACGUUGUCCGGAUUUACUGGGCGUAAAGCGCGCGCAGGCGGACUGGUAAGUCAGAGGUGAAAUCUCCCGGCUCAACUGGGAGGGGCCCUUUGAUACUGUCAGUCUUGAGAUGCCUAGAGGAGAGUGGAAUUCCCGGUGUAGUGGUGGAAUGCGUAGAUAUCGGGAGGAACACCUGUGGCGAAAGCGGCUCACUGGACCACAACUGACGCUGAGGCGCGAAAGCUAGGGGAGCAAACAGG